rnacentral:lncRNA from 1 species
GCCCGACCUGAAACAAGUGUGCGCUGCCCGCUUUAGAUCACCGCUCAGCCUCCUCCAGCCCCGUUAGAACCCGCAGAGGCAUCAGACCGUGCCUGGAAUGGUUUAAAGCAGAACAAUGCCAACAUAAAAAACUUCCUUUAGGUCACCCACACGCAUUCGUUUCACUGACAAAUAACCUCCAAGAAAAGAUCUGUUUGUGAAGUCUGUUUUGGUUUUGGUUUGGUUUGUUUGAAAUGAAAUCUUAGCCUUUUGUUUUGGCAGCCCCUGCCUGAGUACCGGAACCAUCACAGGAGGUGAGGAAACAAAUCCUGGGCUGGUCUUGGACUUUUCAGGGGCAGAAGCCAGAUCUUCAAAUUCACUACUAACAAUUAUCUUUGUACAGAGCACGCCCCUUUGUGCAUAUAUAGGUAUGUGAUGGCUGGAAAAAUAAACGAGGAAGUAGAAACAGCAUUUUACAGUGAUACAGUGAUGGACAGAGAUGAUAGGAAAUUCAUUUAUAAAAAUUAUGGUUAAGAUAGCGAAAAAGAAAAGCGCCAGCUAGUGAGCGGAUCACUUUUCUUUCCUCCUCCCCCUCCGUAUAUAAAUGCAGCCCACUGUCAAGAGUGGGAUUGGUGUGAGUUCAUUUGUUGCGAGUUGUAGAAACUGAACUCUGGCUAUUUUAACUCCUAAGGAUAUUCAUUGGACGGCAAUGAGGAAACUCACGGCGUGAAUGAAAGGCUGAAGAAACUGACUGCCAGGACAGCAUGGGCCAUGCCAUUCUGGGCGUCUCUACAGCGGGAACGACUUGGGAGACUGAGUCAGGGCACUGAUGAGAGAUUGCACCCUCUCCCAGAGCCCCCCUCCCCUUCAGCCCUUCGCUCAUCUCCUUAUUCUGCUCAGGGGGCAAAGUUCCAGUGACAAGCCAGGGAACAUUUGAAAAUGAACAGAAGUGCUGUUGAUAAUUACACCAGGACAAGAGACGCAAACCGGGACCAUCUUAGGUAAAUUGGGGUGUCUGGUCAUCCUCAUUCCAGCACACGCUUCUACUUUCCUGUGCUUGAUGAAAACCUAUUCUCUUCUCUAAGACUUAACAAUUCGAAGCAAACUGGAAGCUCUUGAAGGCUAGAAAUAGUACCUUCUCUGUUGAUGCAUGAGAUACUCAGCCUCUCAUGUCAUGCUUGGCACAUGGCAGGUGCCCCCUGGACCUUCGCUGUGGAAUUAUAAUUGAGUAAAAUGACUAAAGUCUUUAUCCUUCCUCCUCACAUAUGCUCCCAUGCUUAAACUUUCUAUGCAUUUAGGGGGUGCACUUGCUCCCACUGUUUGCAUCGGGGAGGUACAGCUAACCCCUCUUCCUUUUGCUUAACAUCAUUCUUUCCUUCUGACAAUGGCACCAGUGUGUCCCCCUCGCCAGUGAACAGAGGGUAAGGUCCCAAAUGAAAUGAGCCUAGGCCAUGUCUACUUAUGGAAGAUGCUAUUUGCUCAGUGAAAAAAUGCUUUGGGGGUGAAAUGGAAAGUCAGAUUUUUUAA